UGUCCCGCGGUAGCUGAUGUGCGACGGAGUCCGCCGCGGUAGGCAGAACUUCAAGACGUCCAUCGCACCGCGAAUCCCGACAGGUUCGCGGCCCGAGAACGGGAGAGAACGCUGAGCGUUACAAC
rfam:Corynebacterium genitalium ATCC 33030 chromosome, whole genome shotgun sequence.